rnacentral:rRNA from 1 species
AACGAACGCUGGCGGCAGGCCUAACACAUGCAAGUCGAGCGAGCAUUUCGGUGCUAGCGGCGGACGGGUGAGUAACGCGUGGGAACGUGCCCUUUUCUGCGGAAUAGUCCUGGGAAACUGGGGGUAAUACCGCAUACGCCCUUUUGGGGAAAGAUUUAUCGGAGAAGGAUCGGCCCGCGUUGGAUUAGGUAGUUGGUGGGGUAAUGGCCCACCAAGCCGACGAUCCAUAGCUGGUUUGAGAGGAUGAUCAGCCACACUGGGACUGAGACACGGCCCAGACUCCUACGGGAGGCAGCAGUGGGGAAUCUUAGACAAUGGGGGCAACCCUGAUCUAGCCAUGCCGGGUGAGUGAUGAAGGCCUUAGGGUUGUAAAGCUCUUUCAGCUGGGAAGAUAAUGACGGUACCAGCAGAAGAAGCCCCGGCUAACUCCGUG